AUGUAUUUCAAUAACGUUGAGCGUAAUGGAUUACGAUCCCACUGCUGCCUGAUUGAUUCGUUUCCCCGCUUUAUGAACGACACAGAUCCGGCCACCGCCGCUCGUCCUGACUGGGAAAACCAUUUUAAUGACAGUCUGCGGCUUCGCUUCGCCGUUCAGCGCGCGAGCCUUCUGUCGGUCGCGUGCGGCCCUACGGCGGCUGCGUCGACGCCGAUCCCCGCGGGACCCUCACGGACGUGGAGGGCCGUUUUUGUCUCGAGCGCGUCGAUAUCAAGUGGCACGCGCCUCGUCGUCACGGCCCGCAGCUGUGGCGAGAAGAGAUGCGGACGACCGCGGGGGCUCGCGUUUUACAUUCCGCCCGCUCGCCGCGGGAAAUUAGACAUUCAUCAAACGCGUAGGAAGCGUAAUUAUAACUUAAAGACACAAGGUUACAGUGGGUUCCUAGAAAAUAAUCCGCCAGCCGUCACUGCCCACGCUGACACCAGCAGACUGUGCUGUGGCUCAUUGCCAGUCGUGUUCCUGCGGUGGGUCCGUGGGGGUCCCGGCGCCAUAUUGAGAUCCGUUCGGGACCGGAAAAAGCCGAGCCACUUGCCGUAUUUGUAUUCAGGGGCCAGAGUCAGAGUCUGCAGGGUCCGCCUUCGUGUGGCCGCUGCGUCGGCAGCGUUGGAGGACGACCAGACGCGGGGAAUCACAAGUGGAAGCGAGGCCACCGCCAAGUUCUAUGUUGCUGCUCAUUGGCUGGACUCACCUGUCCUACACUACACCAGUAGGCCUGUCAACAGGAAGGCGUCCCUCCUUCAGAUCAGCCAUGUAGAACAGCGGCGGCGAGCUGCCUGAUGAGGAUGAUGAUGAUGAUGAUGAUGAUGCCACAUACGUACGGCUGUGAUACACUGCAGCACAGGCGGCGGCGGCGCCGGCCUCGGAGCCCGGAGACGAUCCGGCUGCAGCAUCGGGCCGGACGGAAGGAGGCCUGGUGUGCUGCUGCACAGACCCACUCUGAGCUUUCAGGUGAGGAGCCAUCCAUCACCCAUCCGCUCCUGACAUUAACUUUUUUGUCAAUGCCACUGUCUCCAGUUUGUCUGCAGACUGAAAGAUUUGAGAGGCACUUUUUAU
rnacentral:lncRNA from 1 species